UACAGAGGUCCCAAGCGUUGUUCGGAUUCAUUGGGCGUAAAGGGUGCGUAGGUGGCGCUGUAAGUCGGGUGUGAAAUUUCGGAGCUUAACUCCGAAACUGCAUUCGAUACUGCGGUGCUUGAGGACUGGAGAGGAGACUGGAAUUCAUGGUGUAGCAGUGAAAUGCGUAGAGAUCAUGAGGAAGACCAGUGGCGAAGGCGGGUCUCUGGACAGUCCCUGACACUGAGGCACGAAGGCCAGGGGGAGCAAACGGGG
rnacentral:rRNA from 1 species